rnacentral:rRNA from 1 species
AGGUCUUGACAUCCCGAUGCUAUUUCUAGAGAUGAAAGUUACUUCGGUACAUCGGUGACAGGUGGUGCAUGGUUGUCGUCAGCUCGUGUCGUGAGAUGUUGGGUUAAGUCCCGCAACGAGCGCAACCCUAUUGUUAGUUGCCAUCAUUCAGUUGGGCACUCUAGCGAGACUGCCGGUAAUAAACCGGAGGAAGGUGGGGAUGACGUCAAAUCAUCAUGCCCCUUAUGACCUGGGCUACACACGUGCUACAAUGGUUGGUACAACGAGUUGCGAGUCGGUGACGGCGAGCUAAUCUCUUAAAGCCAAUCUCAGUUCGGAUUGUAGGCUGCAACUCGCCUACAUGAAGUCGGAAUCACUAGUAAUCGCGGAUCAGCACGCCGCGGUGAAUACGUUCCCGGGCCUU